CUCAAUCAGUUUUUUGGGGGGCAACAGGUAUAUCACACCCAUUGCAAUUAGUUGUUCCAAUAGCGUUUGUCCCUCUAUAUAGCUGCGGUAUUGCAGCAGAACCGCACAAAACUGCUGCAUAAUAGAAAUGCACUAUAGUAUACUUACUAUGUUAGAAAGUAUAUUAUAAGCAUAUCAUACCCCUCAAUAAUUUUUUGGAGGGGCAACUGGUAAAUCACACCAGUAGAAAUU